rnacentral:rRNA from 1 species
UAGAGUUUGAUCCUGGCUCAGGAUGAACGCUGGCGGCGUGCUUAACACAUGCAAGUCGAACGAUGAACCUCACUUGUGGGGGGAUUAGUGGCNAACGGGUGAGUAACANGUGAGUAACCUGCCCUUGACUCUGGGAUAAGCCUGGGAAACUGGGUCUAAUACCGGAUAUGACUGAUCAUCGCAUGGUGGUUGGNGNAAAGCUUUUGCGGUUUUGGAUGGACUCGCGGCCUAUCANCUUGUUGGUGGGGUAAUGGCCUACCAAGGCGACUACGGGUAGCCGGCCUGAGANGGUGACCGGCCACACUGGGACUGAGACACGGCCCNGACUCNUACGGGAAGCNGCA